rnacentral:rRNA from 1 species
AGAGUUGAUCAUGGCUCAGGAUGAACGCUAGCGACAGGCUAACACAUGCAAGUCGAGGGGCAGCACGGGAGUAGCAAUACAACUGGUGGCGACCGGCGCACGGGUGAGUAACGCGUAUGCAACCUACCUAUCAGAGGGGAAUAACCCGGCGAAAGUCGGACUAAUACCGCAUAAAACAGGGGCACCGCAUGGUGAUAUUUGUUAAAGAAAUUCGCUGAUAGAUGGGCAUGCGUUCCAUUAGGUAGUUGGUGAGGUAACGGCUCACCAAGCCGACGAUGGAUAGGGGAACUGAGAGGUUGGUCCCCCACACUGGUACUGAGACACGGACCAGACUCCUACGGGAGGCAGCAGUGAGGAAUAUUGGUCAAUGGGCGGGAGCCUGAACCAGCCAAGUCGCGUGAAGGAAGAAGGAUCUAUGGUUCGUAAACUUCUUUUGCAGGGGAAUAAAGUGCAGGACGUGUCCUGUUUUGUAUGUACCCUGAGAAUAAGGAUCGGCUAACUCCGUGCCAGCCGCAGC